UUUGUGUUUUGGUCUUACUGACCAAUUUUGUGUAGCGUGAGAGACUCAUAGGCUUUUCAAUAUUUAUUAAAGGAUCAGAAAAAAGAAGUUUCAGAUUAGGAUUCUUAUUAAGCUGAGCAUAGAGAGAAUCAAGAUGGGUAAUUCCUGGCUAAUAGUGGCUUAAGAAGGGAAAAUUUGGAAAUACAAACUAGGGAAAGUUUCCUAAUAUACGCCUAUCAAUCUUGAGAUGACAUGUAACAGAAGAUCAUUAAGCAUCUCCUUUUACCAUCUGGUUUGACACCAUGCAUACAAGUCUAUGGUGCAAUGGCAGCGCACCUGGCUUCAGUCCAAAAGAACGUGUGUUUGAUUCAAGCCAUAUUGUUCUACAAUUUCUGUUUUUGCUGAUAUGGAAGUAGUCGUCCACGAUUAAUCUAUACUUGAAAUUGUAUCAUCUAAUUUUUUUUUUUUACAUCAGCUCGCUUCGAUUGGUUCUGUUUCGAUGUAAUUAGUUUAUCAACGUAAUUAAUUUGUGAUGUACUCUCGAUUUGGGAUUUGAUAAAGAUAUCGUCUCAUGGGUUACAUUACUGAGUACAUCGAAUUCCUGCGGUGUAUGCUAUUAAAGUUACUACAAACUUGAACUACUAAUACUUUC